GCAUUAGUAGCUCAGUGUUAGAGCACCGGUCUUGUAAGCCGGACGCCGAGGGUUAAAGUCCCUCCUCUUGCU
rnacentral:tRNA from 1 species